CAGCCGCCGCGGUAAAACCAGCACCUCAAGUGGUCAGGAUGAUUAUUGGGCCUAAAGCAUCCGUAGCUCGUUUUGUAAGUUUUCGGUUAAAUCCAUACGCUUAACGUAUGGGCUGCCGGGAAUACUGCAUAACUAGGAAGUGGGAGAGGUAGACGGUACUCGGUAGGAAGGGGUAAAAUCCUUUGAUCUAUUGAUGACCACCUGUGGCGAAGGCGGUCUACCAGAACACGUUCGACGGUGAGGGAUGAAAGCUGGGGGAGCAAACCGGAUUAGAUACCCGGGUAGUCCCAGCUGUAAACUAUGCAAACUCAGUGAUGCAUUGGCUUGUGGCCAAUGCAGUGCUGCAGGGAAGCCGUUAAGUUUGCCGCCUGGGAGGUACGUACGCAAGUAUGAAACUUAAAGGAAUUGGCGGGGGAGCAC
rnacentral:rRNA from 2 species